rnacentral:piRNA from 1 species
AACGACUAUGCCGACCUUAACCAGACUGC